CGGCUUGUUACUUCCUUACAUCGUAGCGUGUUUAAUCUGCAGCUGAACUGUGUGAAGACAAGCCGCCCUCGCCUGCAUUCAAACUGCCAUUGCAGUUGCCACGCGCUCACUGCUCACGUAGGUAACACCUUAGGCGGCAGCAUACAACACCAAUCCCUUUCCUUCAGCAAGACGAGGAAGGCUAUCACAAGCAGCGCAGACCUGGUGGAUCCAUCUAUCGUGUCCAUCAGGACAUCUCUGAAGAUGAAUUUCACUCUGUGGUGCUUUUUUCCAGAAUCCAUACCCAAUCAACAUAAUCAUGAAUCUGUUCCAAUGAGUAAAAGUCCCAAAUCUAGUCCUAAAAGUGUAAUCUCCAAAUCUGUUCCAAGAAAUAAUUUUCUCAUGCUGGCUCCUGAAAAUGAAGUUACAGGGGAUGUAAUUCCCGAACCUGAUACAGUGAAGCCCGCUCCAGCUACUGAGUUCUGUCUGGCCCCAGAAUCCAGUUACAAACCCAUUCCAGCCCCAGAGUUCUGUUCUGAGCCAGCUUUAGCUCAGAUCAGUCAUAGGUCCAUUCCAGCUCCAGAAUCUGUUUCAACCCAUGAACAAGCUCCAGAAUCUGGGCCAACUCCAGAGAUUAUAACCUCAGUGCUUUACUUCACCUCUCCCUGAAGGAGGAGGCAGAGGAAGAAGAAACGGUCUUCUACCGGGCCAGCCCCUGACCACAGCCCAGUGUCUGUUCUGUGCAUAUAGGACUGCUUUCUCCAAUAUGGUUUGUGACUAAAUCUUCCUAUGUUGAGAUAAUACUACUUGCCUUUGUUGUCCACUACUGUGCAUCAACUUAACUAGCUAUCUACCCAUGCACAGAACCUUCACAGAAGAUAGAAGCAGAUGAGGACAGGUAUACUGCUACGAAUCUCUCUCUCUGUCAUCAUCUGCUUCUGUCUUCUGUGAUCCAGUGCUGAUCUCCUCCUCACCUGCAAUGCAAGGAAAGUUAAGACUGUUAUAAUCAAGUUUGCUGGACUAGUGCAUUUUGAACAUUCACUCACCUGCUUUACGGCUUGUCUUCUGGUUCUACCAAUAAAGUCUGAGUUUGACAUUUACCCGUGUUGAUCCUCUGCUGACAAGUACA